rnacentral:lncRNA from 1 species
UCCAUCUGUUGACCAAUGCUUUUAUAAAGCUUGAUAGAAGAAAACAAAAAUGCAUUUUCUGGUUCUUGUUUUCUUUCUUUUUUAUUUUUUUCAAAGAGACAGGGUCUCUCUCUGUCACCCAGGCUGGAGUGCAGUGGUGCAAUGGAGUUCACUGCAGCCUCAACCUCCUGGGCUCAAGCGAUCCUCCCACUUUAGCCUCCCAGGUAGCUGGGACUCUUGACCUAAGAAAUUGGAGUGAUUCAUUUCAUCAGUAACUUUCAGAAAAAUAUCUGAGUGAGGGUGGACAGCAUGGCGGGGAUACCCAGUCCCAUGCUACCAUGACUAGGACAUAGGUCUGCAUCAUUCUGGGUUGAGCAUUAUUCUGGGCUUAUUUGAUACCAAAACCUAAAGCCAUGUUCUCUUUUCUUUUCUUUUUUUGAAAUGGAGUUUCACUCUCGUUGCUCAGGCUGGAGUGCAAUGGUGCAAUCUCAGCUCACCACCACCUCCGCCUCCCGGGUUCAAGUGAUUCUCCUCCUUCAGCCUCCCGAGUAGCUGUGAUUACAGGCAUGUGCCACCACAGCUGGCUAAUUUUUGUAUUUUUAGUAGAGACGGGGUUUCUCCAUGUUGGUCAGGCUGGUCUCAAACUCCCGACCUCAGGUGAUCCACCCGCCUUGGCAUCCCAAAGUGCUGGGAUUACAGGCGUGAGCCACCGUGUCCGGCCCAUGUUCUCUUUUCUUGCCCCUGAGCCUUUGAGUGAUUGUAUCUUAGGGAGAAUCCACUUGCCAGGAUGUGGGUCAUAAUUAGAAUGGUGGGAAUAGUGGCAUUGUCUCUGCUUCACCCAGCCAUAACUGCCUGAACUAAGGCAGUUAUUUUAUGGACAGAAAGGAGCAGCUGGGUUGGGGAGGCCUUGGUGAGGUAGAUAGGCUGAUUAAAUAAUGAAUGAGUGAUGAAAAAGAGGGAGCUGCUGGUCCAGCCACACUGAAGUCCUCAGAGCCAAGGGUGUUGCUGAGGCUAAGGACCUGGGGUCUGCAGCAGGGCAGGCUCUGGGGCAAGUCAUCAAAAAGCCCUGAUUGACACCACCCCUGUUGAUGUCCUCUAGGGUUCCUGAGCACUUGUGAGAGUAGCUAUGUUGAAUUCCAGAGGUCUCUGUGAUUGCACAAGAGCAGGAAAUUUCCCUCAUUUAUUCAUGUGUCUGACAAUCACUUAUCAAGCACCUAUGUUUACAGAUGGUCCCCAACUUAAUGUGGUUCGACUUAGGAUUUUUCAACUAUACCGUGGUGUGAAAGAGAUACACAUUCAGUAGAAACCGUAUUUUGACUACCCAUAUGAUCACUGUGUUUUUCACUUUCAGCAUAGGAGUCAACAAAUCAAGUGGGACAUUCAACACUUUAUUAUAAAAUAGGCUUUGUCUUAGAUUCUUUUGUCAAACUGUAGGCCAAUGUAAGUGCUCUGAGCACAGUUAAGGUAAGACUAGACUAAGCUAUGAUGUUCGGUAGGUUAGGUGUUUUUUUUUUUUUUUUCUUUUUGUGAUGGAGUUUCUCUCUUGCUGGCCAGGCUGGAGUGCAAUGGCGCGAUCUCAGCUCACUGCAAUCUCUGCCUCUCGGGGUUCAAGUGAUUCUCCUGCGUCAGCCUCCCAAGUAGCUAGGGUUACAGGCAUGCACCACCGUGCCUGGCUAAUUUUUUAUAUUUAGUAGAGAUGGGGUUUCACCAUGUUAGUCAAGCUGGUCUCAAACCCC